UAUAAUUGGAAGCCUGCGGGAAGAAGAUAUAGCGACUGAGCGGCGGACGGGUGAGUAACGCGUGGGCAACCUGCCUUGCACAGGGGGAUAACAGUUAGAAAUGACUGCUAAUACCGCAUAAGACCACAGCCCCGCAUGGGGCGGAGGUAAAAACCGAGGUGGUGCAAGAUGGGCCCGCGUCUGAUUAGGCAGUUGGUGGGGUAAGGGCCCACCAAACCGACGAUCAGUAGCCGACCUGAGAGGGCGACCGGCCACAUUGGGACUGAGACACGGCCCAAACUCCUACGGGAGGCAGCAGUGGGGAAUAUUGCACAAUGGGGGAAACCCUGAUGCAGCGACGCCGCGUGAGUGAGGAAGUAUUUCGGUAUGUAAAGCUCCAUCAGCAGGGAAGAAAAUGACGGUACCUGACUAAGAAGCCCCGGCUAACUACGUGCCAGCAGCCGCGGUAAUACGUAGGGGGCAAGCGUUAUCCGGAUUUACUGGGUGUAAAGGGAGCGUAGACGGAAUAGCAAGUCUGAUGUGAAAACCCGGGGCUCAACUCCGGGAGUGCAUUGGAAACUGUUGAUCUAGAGUGUCGGAGAGGCAAGCGGAAUUCCUAGUGUAGCGGUGAAAUGCGUAGAUAUUAGGAGGAACACCAGUGGCGAAGGCGGCUUGCUGGACGAUGACUGACGUUGAGGCUCGAAAGCGUGGGGAGCAAACAG
rnacentral:rRNA from 1 species